UAACCUGCCCAAGAGACUGGGAUAACACCUGGAAACAGAUGCUAAUACCGGAUAACAACACUAGACGCAUGUCUAGAGUUUAAAAGAUGGUUCUGCUAUCACUCUUGGAUGGACCUGCGGUGCAUUAGCUAGUUGGUAGGGUAACGGCCUACCAAGGCGAUGAUGCAUAGCCGAGUUGAGAGACUGAUCGGCCACAUUGGGACUGAGACACGGCCCAAACUCCUACGGGAGGCAGCAGCA
rnacentral:rRNA from 1 species